rnacentral:rRNA from 1 species
UACAGAGGAGCCAAGCGUUGUCCGGAUUGACUGGGCGUAAAGCGUGCGCAGGCGGUUGUGCAAGACCGAUGUGAAAUCCCCGGGCUUAACCUGGGAAUGGCAUUGGUGACUGCACGGCUAGAGUGUGUCAGAGGGGGGUAGAAUUCCACGUGUAGCAGUGAAAUGCGUAGAGAUGUGGAGGAAUACCGAUGGCGAAGGCAGCCCCCUGGGAUAACACUGACGCUCAUGCACGAAAGCGUGGGGAGCAAACAGG